UACAGAUGGGGCGAGUGUUAUUCGGAAUGAUUGGGCGUAAAGGGUACGUAGGCGGUUUCUUAUGGUAUGCUGUAACUUCCUUUUUAAAAAAGGCUCGCGGCUUUAUUACCACGAAACUAGAGUUUGAUAGAGGAAAGCGGAAUUUUGAGUGGAGAGAUAGAAUUCAUAGAUAUUCAAAGGAACACCGAAAACGAAGGUAGCUUUCUGGGUCAAUACUGACGCUCAUGUACGAAAGCGUGGGGAGUGAAUGGG
rnacentral:rRNA from 1 species